rnacentral:rRNA from 1 species
ACUGUUUUGAAAGAUUCUUCGGAAUGAAUUUGAUUUAGUUUAGUGGCGGACGGGUGAGUAACGCGUGAGUAACCUGCCUUCAAGAGGGGGAUAACAUUCUGAAAAGAAUGCUAAUACCGCAUGAUAUAUCGGAACCACAUGAUUUUGAUAUCAAAGAUUUUAUCGCUUGAAGAUGGACUCGCGUCCGAUUAGUUAGUUGGUGAGGUAACGGCUCACCAAGACCGCGAUCGGUAGCCGGACUGAGAGGUUGAACGGCCACAUUGGGACUGAGACACGGCCCAGACUCCUACGGGAGGCAGCAGUGGGGGAUAUUGCGCAAUGGGGGCAACCCUGACGCAGCAACGCCGCGUGAAGGAUGAAGGUUUUCGGAUUGUAAACUUCUUUUAUUAAGGACGAAAAUUGACGGUACUUAAUGAAUAAGCUCCGGCUAACUACGUGCCAGCAGCCGCGGUAAUACGUAGGGAGCAAGCGUUGUCCGGAUUUACUGGGUGUAAAGGGUGCGUAGGCGGCUUUGCAAGUCGGAUGUGAAAUCUAUGGGCUCAACCCAUAAACUGCAUUUGAAACUGUAGAGCUUGAGUGAAGUAGAGGCAGGCGGAAUUCCCCGUGUAGCGGUGAAAUGCGUAGAGAUGGGGAGGAACACCAGUGGCGAAGGCGGCCUGCUGGGCUUUAACUGACGCUGAGGCACGAAAGCGUGGGUAGCAAACAGG